CCUACGGGUGGCUGCAGUGGGGAAUAUUGCACAAUGGGCGCAAGCCUGAUGCAGCCAUGCCGCGUGUGUGAAGAAGGCCUUCGGGUUGUAAAGCACUUUCAGCGGGGAGGAAGGCGUUAAGGUUAAUAACCUUGGCGAUUGACGUUACCCGCAGAAGAAGCACCGGCCAACUCCGUGCCAGCAGCCGCGGUAAUACGGAGGGUGCAAGCGUUAAUCGGAAUUACUGGGCGUAAAGCGCACGCAGGCGGUCUGUCAAGUCGGAUGUGAAAUCCCCGGGCUCAACCUGGGAACUGCAUUCGAAACUGGCAGGCUAGAGUCUUGUAGAGGGGGGUAGAAUUCCAGGUGUAGCGGUGAAAUGCGUAGAGAUCUGGAGGAAUACCGGUGGCGAAGGCGGCCCCCUGGACAAAGACUGACGCUCAGGUCCGAAAGCGUGGGGAGCAAACAGGAUUAGAUACCCCAGUAGUC
rnacentral:rRNA from 1 species